UGAGCUGGCGGCGUGCUAAUACAUGCAGUCGAGCGAAUGGAUUGAGAGCUUGCUCUCAAGAAGUUAGCGGCGGACGGGUGAGUAACACGUGGGUAACCUGCCCAUAAGACUGGGAUAACUCCGGGAAACCGGGGCUAAUACCGGAUAAUAUUUUGAACUGCAUGGUUCGAAAUUGAAAGGCGGCUUCGGCUGUCACUUAUGGAUGGACCCGCGUCGCAUUAGCUAGUUGGUGAGGUAACGGCUCACCAAGGCAACGAUGCGUAGCCGACCUGAGAGGGUGAUCGGCCACACUGGGACUGAGACACGGCCAGACUCCUACGGGAGGCAGCAGUAGGGAAUCUUCCGCAAUGGACGAAAGUCUGACGGAGCAACGCCGCGUGAGUGAUGAAGGCUUUCGGGUCGUAAAACUCUGUUGUUAGGGAAGAACAAGUGCUAGUUGAAUAAGCUGGCACCUUGACGGUACCUAACCAGAAAGCCACGGCUAACUACGUGCCAGCAGGCCGCGGUAAUACGUAGGUGGCAAGCGUUAUCCGGAAUUAUUGGGCGUAAAGCGCGCGCAGGUGGUUUCUUAAGUCUGAUGUGAAAGCCCACGGUUCAACCGUGGAGGGUCAUUGGAAACUGGGAGACUUGAGUUGCAGAAG
rnacentral:rRNA from 1 species